rnacentral:pre_miRNA from 1 species
AUUGGGAUUGUUGGGUCAUAUGAUACAUGUAUAUUUAACUUUAUGAGAAACUGCCAAACUGUUUUCCAGAGUGGCUGUAUCAUUUUGCAUUCCCACCAGCAAU